rnacentral:lncRNA from 1 species
UAGGGAAAGGGAGAAGAGGCAGGAAGAAGAAACACUAAGCAAAUAGGGGUAACAAGUAUCAUUACCGGUAUGUGUCAGUGCUUGGUGCUAAGACUGGGAGAAAGAGAAGGAAGUGCAGGGGAGAUGGUGAUGGGUCACAGCCUUGGUGACAAAAGGGUAGGAAUGAUAUGUGGUGCGGACAUAGAAGUACAAGGCAAAAGAGUGACGCCGAGCUGCUCAGUUCUUCGGAAG